rnacentral:lncRNA from 10 species
UUUAACUCUCCAGGUGACCCUAACGUGCAGCCACUGCUGCAAUCCACCCCCAAUCAAGCCAGUCCCCAGUGAACUGUGGGCAUUCACUCAUAACUGGCACAGCCAUCCCCUGAAAUCUGUUGCGAGGAACAAUACUCAAAGGCUAACUACGACUGAGGGCUUCAUGCCCCGCUGCUGUGAGUGCUGCCAGCACCAUCCCCUGCCUGCCCUCUCUCUAGACAUUGCCCUCUGCUGAAGGGACCCACCCUGACCAUGGUCCCUGGAGCAGCCUCAGUUGAGUGAUGUACUUGUGAUAAGAGGGCCCUGCCCCUCUCACCCCGAUUCCGCACAACCUUAAAGGGCUGCUCCCACUCCAGAGAUCUUCCUGUGGGGUGGCUGAGGCUUUUCUUUUGACCACGUGGAAGCCCAGCCUGUCCCUCUGCCCAUCUGCCGCUUUCCCUCCCCACAGGUGUUGGUCCUGAGAGCAUUCCCAAAUAAAUUUCCUGAACCAUCAUCACCAUAGCAAAGCAGCUUCCUGGGCAACCUCACCUACAACAGCCAUUUAAGAAUAGGAAUUUGAAAGACAUUGAGUGAAAACAAUUUAUAAUUCAGAAAGGAAAGCUUGCCUUAUAAAUAAAACUAUUCAUUAUUACUUAGCUAAAAUAGUCGUAGUUACUUUACAAAUGUUUACGGCUCCCCUGGCUUGGAGA